rnacentral:rRNA from 1 species
ACUGAACGCUGGCGGCAUGCUUUACACAUGCAAGUCGAACGGUAACAGGCCGCAAGGUGCUGACGAGUGGCGAACGGGUGAGUAAUGCAUCGGAACGUGCCCAGUCGUGGGGGAUAACUACUCGCAAGAGUAGCUAAUACCGCAUACGAUCUAUGGAUGAAAGCGGGGGACCGUAAGGCCUCGCGCGAUUGGAGCGGCCGAUGUCAGAUUAGGUAGUUGGUGGGGUAAAGGCUCACCAAGCCAACGAUCUGUAGCUGGUCUGAGAGGACGACCAGCCACACUGGGACUGAGACACGGCCCAGACUCCUACGGGAGGCAGCAGUGGGGAAUUUUGGACAAUGGGCGCAAGCCUGAUCCAGCAAUGCCGCGUGCAGGAAGAAGGCCUUCGGGUUGUAAACUGCUUUUGUACGGAACGAAACGGCUCUGGUUAAUACCCGGGGCUAAUGACGGUACCGUAAGAAUAAGCACCGGCUAACUACGUG